AGGGCGCCUGCUGCAGGGAAAGGGGCGGUGCUGCGGCUCUUCCGCGGGAGGGGCUCCCGCGGGAUCUCGCGGAUUCGGACUUCGCCCACCCCUACAAACGGUGCGGAGGCGGUAGGGUGCAGGGAUUCGUACUGGGUGUGGUACUCCCGGCCUGGCUCUCUGGCUGAGGUAGUCCUUUCCAGUUAAUGGAUCUUCCGCGCGGGACGGUAGACCUGGCGCCCCUGCAGACGGGCUGCGGACCGCGCCAUGGCGACCCUGCUCCGGGCGGGGUCUCUAGGCGGCCCUGCUUCGAGUGGGAACCUGGGCGCGGGUCCCCACCUGUGCCCAUUCUUUCGUGUGUACGCAUGUUCCAACGUUGUCGCCGGCCGGGGACGCCGGCAAACGCAUUACUACUCGUUAUCACUGCCGCCCGAUGGAAAUCCUCACUGCACAUCGUCUGCUUUUGGAAAGUCUGGAAUCUUUAACUGCCUGCUUGUCAGCUCUCACUUUAACACCCCCAGGCCGGUUUUUAACCCCCUAAUGGAAAAGCCCCUACCCGGGGUCGAGUGUGUUGGGAGAGUAAGGGUCCUGCGACGGCCCCCGGCACCAGGACCCCCAGAACUGGCCGCGUGACCUUGGGCCGCGCCUUGCUGGACUGUGCGUCUGUCUGUUCAUUAAGGCCCUGGAUUCCGCGUGUCUGGCGGAGGUGCUGAUAAAUCCCGCCCUGCAGAAAAGAUGACCCUGGAGGCGGCAUGCAGGAUCUUAGUUCCCCGACCAGGUAUCGAAGCCAGGGCCCCCCCACUCCCCGCAGUGAAUGGAUGCAUGGAGUCCUAACCACUGGACCACCAGGGAAUUCCCUGAAACGCGCUUUGCUUUAUCAACAGCAGGUGAGAAUAACCUAGGCAGUCGUGUGUUGGAACAUGCCUGGCUCUUUGCCCUAUUUGUUAAAAUACUUGCUCUGCGUAGCUAUGUUAUGCUGGACCUAAGCCUCCACAGUUGACCCUUGAGCAACAUGGGGGUUGGGGGCGCCAACUCCCUGCAUACUCGAAAAUCCAAGUAUAACCUUUGACUCCCCAAAAACUUAACUACUAAUAGCCUACUGUUGACCGGAAGCCUUACCCAUAACAUACAGUCGAUUAACACAUGUUGUAUUUAUAUGUAUUAUACACUGUAUUCUUACAAUAAAGUAAGCUAGAGAAAAGAAAAUGUCUUUGAAGAAAAUCAUAAGGAAGAGAAAAUACAUUUACGAUACUGUACUGUAAUGAUCGAUACUCCAAGUUUACAUUGUCUGUUUGAAACAGAGCAGGACACAAUGGUCCUUCCCCUCUGUCCUCCACCUGCCUUUUGUCUGUGGUAAAACUUUAGCUAAAGAAUAAGUUAAGUCAGAGAAGUGGGAAAAUGCAGAAACAAAAGAAAAUUGUCCAAGACUAAAUAAUAAAAGUUUAGGCACUAAGCAAAGUCAAGGACCUUUUGUUCCUCCUCAAGGGCUAUAGAUAGUAUUCUGAGCCGUGUCCUGUGAGCUGUCUUAUAGAUACUGAAACCCCCACCAGGUGGAAGAAGUUACAUGAUGACCAGACUGUAGCCAUGACAGAAGCUGCCACAAUCCUGAGAAUUGGCCUCAAGGAAGUGGGAACAAACCAACCAUGGAACUGAAGAUUAACUGUACUUAAAACUAUCAAGAUGAUGCUGGUCAGACCACCAAUGACCAAUUUCAAGAUGAUUGUCAGAGCUGACUGUGCUGCUUCUACACGUAGUCCCCUCCCUCUGCCUAUAAAAACUCUUGCCCCCUGAUUGUCAGGUGGGGGGAGUUGGCCUUUGGACAGGUGUCCGCCUCCCCCCCCCACCCCAUUCUCAGCAUCCAAAAUAAAGCAAACUUUCCUUUCCACCAA